rnacentral:piRNA from 1 species
UCCUACUAACUGUGGGAAGAUGUCUACAU